rnacentral:rRNA from 1 species
AUUGAACGCUGGCGGCAGGCCUAACACAUGCAAGUCGAACGAGUGGCGGACGGGUGAGGAAUGUCUGGGAAACUGCCCGAUGGAGGGGGAUAACUACUGGAAACGGUAGCUAAUACCGCAUACCAUCGGAUGUGCCCAGAUGGGAUUAGCUGGGAGGUGGGGUAACGGCUCACCUAGGCGACGAUCCCUAGCUGGUCUGCGAGGAUGAACAGCCACACUGGAACUGAGACACGGUCCCGACUCCUACGGGAGGCAGCAGUGGGGAAUAUUGCACAAUGGUCGAAAGCCUGAUGCAGCAAUGCCGCGUGUAUUAAGAGGGCCUUCGGGUUGUAAAGUACUUUCAGCGGGGAGGCGUUACCCGCAGAGGAAGCACCGGCUAACUCCGUGCCAGCAGCCGCGGUAAUAC